CCAAAAAGCUCUCUUUCCUAUCCUCACUUCAUUUUGCAAUAUGCCUGUGUCAUGCAGAUCGGAACUAAGUGAUUUUAAUCUUUGCAGCAUCCAGGUGCAAUAACUUAAUCAUAUAAACAACAAAAUUGCAGGCCCAAACUCACUUCAACAAUUCAGCAAACAGCUAAGCCCCAAAUACAUGGGAUAGAACUCAUCGCAAUGCAGCAUAGUAGAAAUAAAAUAAAUACCAAAAUACAAACACACCAAUUACACUUACCAGUAAUUGUAUGUGCAUAUGUGCUUAUGCUUGAGUUUCAUGACAGCAUUUUCAAGAUUCAAUAUUAUUUAAAUGUGAUAUGCUGGACGUGGAUACAUUGUCAAGUUAUAGAAGCAACAAUGGUCAAUGGCACACUACCCUCUUGAAGCUAUUUGAGUACUGUUAAAUAUCUCAUAUUGGUUAAGUAUGUGGGUAAUGUGCUCCUUCUAAAGACUUGGACAAUCCUCCUCCAUUGAGAUAGCUUUUGGCGGUGAGUUAUACUUAAUUCAUUUUCUCACCAUGGUAUCAAAGUCUUUUUAACCGAUGUAAGGGCCUCCUAUAAGUGUUUCACAUUCCAAGUAUUAGCCCUGGUUGUGAGGAAAGUGUGUUAAAUAUCCCACAUUUGGUUAGGUAAAGUGUUGUUAAAGGCGCUGAAAGGUGCCGAGCGAGGCGAGGCUCUAGAGUAGCGACUCGCCCAACUGAGGCGCGCCUGGAUUUGAAUAGGCGAGCGCCCUGGGCCAAAAGGCAAGAGGCACCAGGUGUUGGGAGGCAUCGCUUCAUGCAUGUAACGAAUAUAUUCUCCUUUUUUUUUUUAAUUUAAAAGCAAAGAUUAAAAAGAACACAACCCUAGCUUCUCAUUUUGAUGCUACCAGCUGCUUGAAAACAGGGUCAGAGCACAACCGCAUUUGUGCAGGUAAUUUUCUCUCAUCCUUCCUCUCUCUUUCUCUCCUCUUCUUUAUUCCUCUCUCCUCUCCUCUUCUUCUCUUCUUCUCACCUGGUGCAGCAAAACAGCGCCUGCACAGAACCCCCUCCCCCCCUUUUUUGUUUCUUUGUAAAUUCUUCUUUUCUUCUUCUCUCCUUCUUCUCCUAUCCUCUUCUUCUCUCACUCGCGCCAUCUGCAUAGCAUCUGCACUUUUUUUUUUCUUUGUAUUUCUUUUCUUCUUUUCUCUCCUCCUUUUCUCUUCUUCUCUCACUCCCGCCUUCUGCACAGCAUCUGCAUUUUAUUUUAUUUUUCUUUUUAAUUUUAACUUGAGUAUUUUC
rnacentral:misc_RNA from 1 species